AUGACGCCGGAGAGGAAGGCGGAUUCCCAUUGGAGGAAAAGAAAGGAGGCGCGUCUCUCUCUGUGUGGGGCUCCGUUAAAGUGCCGGGAAGCCCCGCCCCUCUGUGGGCAUCGUGCCCGCGGCUGCCAUGUUAGCUCCGGGCGGAAGUCCACCGAGGAAGGGAGGCCUCUUCCUAGAGAGGCUGAGGACGAGUGGGGGCGGGUGAGCGCACUUCGGGAGGAGGAAGAGAGAGCGAGUGAGCGAGUGCGGGAGACCAAGGAAGAAGAGAGCGGAGGAGGGUAUUUAUUCCUCGCCCCGAAGGGGACUCAGAGCGGCUUUACCGAACACACACACGGCAAAUAUUCAGUGCCUGAUUCUACAAUUAAGAAGGACAGACGACACAGACAGAGGCUCUUUCAUAGUUGUUUUUUAAUAGCCCAGGGCUGUGGCGCAGACAGGAGAGCAAACCAGUUGCAAUUAACUGCAGUGAAUCACUGACCAGGAGGUCAUAAGUUCGAGGCCCGCUCGGAGCUAUGUUGUUUGUCUUUGUCCUAUGUUAAAAGGCAUUGAAUGUUUGCCUAUAUGUGUAAUGUGAUCCGCCCUGAGUCCCCUUCGGGGUGAGAAGGGCGGAAUAUAAAUGCUGUAAAUAAAUAGCUGGGAAUUUUUAAUAGCUGGGAAUUGUUUUCCUUAGUGUCUUUGUUUUUAGGCCGGUUCCUGGUGUUAUUUGGAUUGCUGAUUCAGAAAAUUGCAUUGGAUAGACCACAUCAGCUCUAGAUUAUUAAACACGGCUUUCUGUGGGUGAGCAGAUGGCAAACACUGGAUGCUAUAUGUUCUGUAUCAGAAAUUAGAGUCGAUGUGGUCUAUCCAAUGCAGUUCUCUGAAUCAGCACCCCAAAAAACCAAACUGAAUCUAAAGUUGACCAAAAACUGAUUCGUAAUCCAGUUGGUACUAAUGUUGGAGAGGGGUCCCUGGUCAAAAAAGGUCACGAACCACUGAGCUAGAGAAUGGAUUGCGCUUUUGACCACAAAAAGAACAAUAUAUUUAGGAGCCUUGUUUUUGAAAAAUUCUAGGCAACUCUACAGAUUGCAGAGGUUUCAGAUCCCCAUUUCCCCUCCUUUUCCCUCUGCAGGUCUCCUUGCCCUCCUCCGGGGCCUCUUCUGUGUGCGGCCAGGCAUCUUUGACCUUCAGGGCCCAAUCCCACAAUGCCAGGGGUCAAAGGGGAUGGUCGCAAGGGUCGGUGAAGCCAAAGGGUUUCAGAAGGCAAAGGUACAGCCUUACGAUUUACAGAGUAAUAUUA
rnacentral:lncRNA from 11 species